rnacentral:tRNA from 1 species
AGUCCCGUGGUGUAGUGGCCAAUCAUAGCGGCCUUUGGAUUGACGGCGGUUCAAUCCGCCCGGGACUA